rnacentral:sRNA from 1 species
ACACCCACAUCAUUCUACAAUCUUCGAGGCUUAAUUUAUCUUAAUUUCUUUACUAAUGAUUUUUUGUGACGUACCAUGGAAUCUUAUGCACCAGAUGAAUAGACAUACGCCGUACUGCUUAUUUUCUCAUUUUACUGAAUCUUACAUUUUAGCCCUUUUCACAUUCUAUGAUACCUGAAUAGCCUAAAACGGAAAUACACCCACAUCAUUCUACAGUCUUCGAGGCUUAAUUUAUCUUAAUUUCUUUACUAAUGAUUUUUUGUGACGUACCAUGGAAUCUUAUGCACCAGAUGAAUAGACAUACGCCGUACUGCUUAUUUUCUCAUUUUACUGAAUCUUACAUUUUAGCCCUUUUCACAUUCUAUGAUACCUGAAUAGCCUAAAACGGAAAUACACCCACAUCAUUCUACAGUCUUCGAGGCUUAAUUUAUCUUAAUUUCUUUACUAAUGAUUUUUUGUGACGUACCAUGGAAUCUUAUGCACCAGAUGAAUAGACAUACGCCGUACUGCUUAUUUUCUCAUUUUACUGAAUCUUACAUUUUAGCCCUUUUCGCAUUCUAUGAUACUUGAAUAGCCUAAAACGGAAAUACACCCACAUCAUUCUACAAUCUUCGAGGCUUAAUUUAUCUUAAUUUCGUUACUAAUGAUUUUUUGUGACGUACCAUGGAAUCUUAUGCACCAGAUGAAUAGACAUACGCCGUACUGCUUAUUUUCUCAUUUUACUGAAUCUUACAUUUUAUCCCUUUUCGCAUUCUAUGAUACUUGAAUAGCCUAAAACGGAAAUACACCCACAUCAUUCUACAAUCUUCGAGGCUUAAUUUAUCUUAAUUUCUUUACUAAUGAUUUUUUGUGACGUACCAUGGAAUCUUAU